rnacentral:rRNA from 1 species
AUUGAACGCUGGCGGCAUGCCUUACACAUGCAAGUCGAACGGUAACAGGUCUUCGGAUGCUGACGAGUGGCGAACGGGUGAGUAAUACAUCGGAACGUGCCUAGUAGUGGGGGAUAACCACUCGAAAGAGUGGCUAAUACCGAAUGAGAUCUACGGAUGAAAGCAGGGGAUCGCACGACCUUGUGCUACUAGAGCGGCCGAUGGCAGAUUAGGUAGUUGGUGGGAUAAAAGCUUACCAAGCCGACGAUCUGUAGCUGAUCUGAGAGGACGAUCAGCCACACUGUGACUGAGACACGGCCCAGACUCCUACGGGAGGCAGCAGUGGGGAAUUUUGGACAAUGGGCGAAAGCCUGAUCCAGCAAUGCCGCGUGCAGGAUGAAGGCCUUCGGGUUGUAAACUGCUUUUGUACGGAACGAAAAGCCCCGGGUUAAUACCCUGGGGUCAUGACGGUACCGUAAGAAUAAGCACCGGCUAACUACGUGCCAGCCGCCGCAGUAA